rnacentral:rRNA from 1 species
CGGCACCGGCCAUCGCCGUGGCGGCCAUCCGGCGGCCCUCCCCGGCGACCCCUCGCCUAUAAGACCGGCGCCUCUUCCCACGGCGCCUGGAACCCUAAUCCCCAUUCGCCCCUCUCCCUCUCGCACGAGCCGCCGCCCGUGCGUUGCUGUCGUCGCGUCUUCGUCGUCACCGCGCACCGGGGCCUCCCUGAGCUUCACGACGAUGUCCAAGAGCACCGCCUCCCUCCUCUACUUCGACUACAUCUAAGGGAUCGAGCUGGGCGCCUCUUCUUCGCCGGGAUCGAACGCCUCUUCCUCUUCGGCCACCGACGCCUCUCCGUCAAAUACACUACGGCUGCUGCUCCUAAACUCCCAACGGGCCCUCGUGCGCCUACUAGAUGCUGGAGUCCAGGAGCUAGAGAUCCCGAGGAUGAUUCUACGUGGAGUUCGGCUUCGAGGAGUAGUUAGGAGGUCCCAGGCAGGAGGCCUUGCCUUUUCGAUCGUUGCUACUUUUGUGCUAGCCUUCUUAAGGCAAUCUUGUUUAACUUAUGUCUGUACUUAGAUAUUGUUGCUUCCGCUGACUCGUCUAUGAUCGAGCACUUGUAUUCGAGCCCUCGAGGCCCCUGGCUUGUAUUAUGAUGCUUGUAUGACUU